rnacentral:lncRNA from 1 species
UGGAAUACGAAUUUCCCAUGAGAUAAAAUAGAUAGCAUACUACCUAAGCAAAGCUGAAAAUUGAUAUUAAUUUCGGGCGUGCCGGGUCAGAGAACAAGCUGACUUGUUCUUCGAUGGCGGCGUGCAAAGUUGCGCGGCAAAGCUGCAAUACUACGACGAUAAUUGUGGUCGGAGAUGGUGGUGGUCUCGACGGGGAUCGGAUAUGAGAGGUCGAGUGACAAUGAAACCUAAGAAGAAAGUGCGGCGUGGCGUUACCCCUACUGGAAGUGCAGGCGAAGAACUGAUUGGUUGUGCUUAGGGUUUGGAAUGUGGGCGAUUUCGCUUUGGGUUUGUGGUUUUGGGUAGAUUGAUUAAGUGGAUUUGAUUUGGGGAUUUUCUCUCUCUCGGAGAGAGACAGA